AAUCCAGUGUCCUGCAACCCCGCGACGGAUAGCUCAUGUCUGUUCGUCUCCACAAAGUCCGAUGGCAACGGCAACCUGAAUUUUUGAACUCCGAGGAGAGUCCAGCGGCUACAUCGCCGUAGCUCUAUCAACUGACGACAGUGCGGGAGGCAACGACAAAACCUACAUUUGCGCUAACAACAACUCUGCUGUCCUGUUUGUCUUUGCCCUGCUGAACAACAGUGCACUAACCACUCAAAGUGACGUAUCAAGCAUUGCUAAUGUCAGUGCUUCAAUCAAUCAAACCACCAUCCAGUGUGUGUUUGAUGUGAUUGGCCUGAACGCAACAUCCCGUGCCAAUGCUGCAACCACCUUUUCAAUUGUACUGGCCAAUGGGACUGUUUAUGCUAAUGGUUCACUUUCAAACCCGACUGUGCGAACAGUCACUGCACAGCUAGACCUGUCCAACAUCACUAGCACCAACACAGCAACAACAACUGUUCCUCCUAGCACCAACUCAACAGACGCCUCCAAUGUCACCACCACCACUGCCACCACCACAACAACCUCAGGGGCCAACAUUUCUCUGCAGCACGGUCUUUCACAAGCUGUAUUGAUCCUCCUCGGUGUCCUGGCCAUCAGGAUGAUGUGAGUCCUCCCUGGUGAAGCCCCACCCCACCUGAGCUGUGUUGAGACAAUGCACUGACUUCUCCCACUGCCAAAGACUACUAGCCACAGGAUCCUCACUUUAUCAUCGCCAUUUCACUCUAGCCAUGCUAUUUAAUGAGGUGUGUGUGUGUGUGUGUGUGUGUGUGUAUUUAUGAGAUGAUGGACAUAACCUUGAGGUGACAUUAUACCUGCAUUCACUUACUGUACUUAGACUAAGCAGACUGCGUGUGUGAGAGAAAAAAAGAGAGACUGUGUGUGUCUAGAAACGAAGCAUGAAGCCAUUGAUUGGUGGACAAUGACAUAAAUGUAA